GGACUACCGGGGUAUCUAAUCCCGUUUGCUCCCCUGGCUUUCGCGCCUCAGCGUCAGAAGAGGUCCAGUUGUGCGCUUUCGCCACCGGCGUUCCUUCCGAUAUCAACGCAUUUCACCGCUCCACCGGAAGUUCCCACAACCCCUACCUCACUCGAGUCCGCCAGUAUCAAAGGCACUUCUCCAGUUAAGCUGGAGGCUUUCACCCCUGACUUGGCAGACCGCCUACGCGCCCUUUAAGCCCAGUGAUUCCGAACAACGUUCGCACGGUUCGUCUUACCGCGGCUGCUGGCAC
rnacentral:rRNA from 3 species